rnacentral:rRNA from 1 species
UACGUAGGGUGCAAGCGUUGUCCGGAAUUAUUGGGCGUAAAGAGCUCGUAGGCGGCUUGUCGCGUCGAAUGUGAAAACCCGGGGCUCAACCCCGGGCCUGCAUUCGAUACGGGCAGACUAGAGUUCGGUAGGGGAGUCUGGAAUUCCUGGUGUAGCGGUGAAAUGCGCAGAUAUCAGGAGGAACACCGGUGGCGAAGGCGGGACUCUGGGCCGCUACUGACGCUGAGGAGCGAAAGCGUGGGGAGCAAACAGG